GGCUUAGAGUUUGAUCAUGGCUCAGAUUGAACGCUGGCGGCAUGCUUUACACAUGCAAGUCGAACGGCAGCAUAGAGAGCUUGCUCUCUGAUGGCGAGUGGCGAACGGGUGAGUAAUACAUCGGAACGUGUCCGUUUGUGGGGGACAACCACCCGAAAGGGUGGCUAAUACCGCAUAAGACCUGAGGGUGAAAGCCGGGGACCGCAAGGCCUGGCGCGAACGGAGCGGCCGAUGACUGAUUAGCUGGUUGGCGGGGUAAAGGCCCACCAAGGCGACGAUCAGUAGCUGGUCUGAGAGGACGACCAGCCACACUGAAACUGAGACACGGUCCAGACUCCUACGGGAGGCAGCAGUGGAGAAUUUUGGACAAUGGGGGCAACCCUGAUCCAGCCAUGCCGCGUGCGGGAAGAAGGCCUUCGGGUUGUAAACCGCUUUUGUCAGGGACGAAAAGGUGCGGGUUAAGAGCUAGCACUGAUGACGGUACCUGAAGAAUAAGCACCGGCUAAUUACGUGCCAGCAGCCGCGGUAAUACGUAGGGUGCGGGCGUUAAUCGGAAUUACUGGGCGUAAAGCGUGCGCAGGCGGUUGGGUAAGACAGAUGUGAAAUCCCCGGGCAUAACCUGGGAACUGCAUUUGUGACUGUCCGACUGGAGUAUGUCAGAGGGGGUGGAAUUCCAAGUGUAGCAGUGAAAUGCGUAGAUAUUUGGAAGAACACCGAUGGCGAAGCAGCCCCUGGGGCAAACUGACGCUCAUGCACGAAAGCGUGGGGAGCAAACAGGAUUAGAUACCCUAGUAGUCNCGCCCUAACGAUGUCUACUGUGUGGAGGGUANNNUCAGUACGAGCUACGCGUGAGUAGACGCUGGGGAGUA
rnacentral:rRNA from 1 species